rnacentral:rRNA from 1 species
CCUACGGGGGGCAGCAGUCGAGAAUCAUUCACAAUGGGGGAAACCCUGAUGGUGCGACGCCGCGUGGGGGAAUGAAGGUCUUCGGAUUGUAAACCCCUGUCAUGUGGGAGCAAAUUAUAAAGAUAGUACCACAAGAGGAAGAGACUGCUAACUCUGUGCCAGCAGCCGCGGUAAUACAGAGGUCUCAAGCGUUGUUCGGAAUCACUGGGCGUAAGGCGUGCGUAGGCUGUUUCGUAAGUCGUGUGUGAAAGGCGCGGGCUCAACCCGCGGACGGCACAUGAUACUGCGAGACUAGAGUAAUGGAGGGGGAACCGGAAUUCUCGGUGUAGCAGUGAAAUGCGUAGAUAUCGAGAGGAACACUCGUGGCGAAGGCGGGUUCCUGGACAUUAACUGACGCUGAGGCACGAAGGCCAGGGGAGCGAAAGGGAUUAGAUACCCGGGUAGUC